rnacentral:rRNA from 1 species
UACGUAGGCAGCAAGCGUUGUUCGGAGUUACUGGGCGUAAAGAGUGCGUAGGUGGUGCCCUAAGUCUGUUGUGAAGUCCCUCAGCUUAACUGGGGAACUGCGUCUGAUACUGGAUGGCUUGAGUUUGGGAGAGGGAUGCGGAAUUCCUGGUGUAGCGGUGAAAUGCGUAGAUAUCAGGAGGAAUACCGGUGGCGAAAGCGACUCUCUGGACGGUAACUGACGCUGAGGCACGAAAGCGUGGGGAGCAAACAGG